UCCUGCUCCCCCAUCCUCAGCUCCUGUCACUCUGACCCUGCUUGCUAUGCUCCAGUCACUCUAGUCUUUCUAUUCCUUGUUUCUGCCUCGGGGCUCUUCGUCCUCCUGGAAUACCUUUGUCCAAAUCUUUGGGUGGCAAGCUCCUUAACCUUCAGGGCUCAAAUAUCACCUCGGAGGUGCCUUUGAACGUGAUAUAGUAGUAUUUGCUGCUACCCGUAGUAUUUACUAUGAUUUACUAUCUAAAAUUAUCGUGCUUAUGCAAGUGGUAUUUGUUUCUUUCCCAACAUUAGGAUGUACAUUCAGAGGCCAGGCCAACAGGUGCUCAACAAACCCUUAGUGAAUGAACGGAAAGAUCACAGAGGAGCAACACAUGGGUGCGGCCCAUGCAGCCGAGUAGGCAUAGGUCCCCCUGCUGCUGGUUUGAUUUGCAGAUCCAGGUCCAGAGCCUUUUAGAAAGUUCUUUGGAGUCUUUCCAAGGUCUUGUCACUCAGUGUGUGUCAUGCCUCAGGUGGCUUCCUGUCUGGUUGGUGAGUAGUGUUCCUGCCAGAAGCCGAUGAGAAAACAUGGAGAGUGCUGGGGUGGCCACUGGUUUUACAAGCAUCACCGUGGGGAGCGUUACAAUGCGGAUUCCUGGGCCCAGCGAACUGGAUUGUGAAGAAAGGCAGAGAUGGAUGCCUCAGGCCAAGGAAGAGGAAGGUCACGAACUCCUGAGGGCAAGAAAGAAAAGCACAUUCAUCCAUUUUCAAAUAUCCUUUUAUGCUUGAAAAUUUACUCACCCUGGACGAUGGAAGCAAAGGAAACGUGACAGCAAAAUCAGUCAUCAUGCAGGACCCCGGGAUCACGACCUGAGCCAAAGGCAGAUGCUUAACCGACUGAGCCACCCAGACCUUCCAGUCAAGAGGAGCCACCUCCAAGCACCCACCCCUGAGGGGCCCCUGUGCUCCAGACCUGAGGCAGAUGUUGAAGUCCCGGAUGAGACUUCCCGGGGCCUCGGAAGGCCUCUCUCUGGAAUCUGGGUCGUCCCUGUGACUCACUUUGGCCAAUGGAAAGCAGUGACCGUGAUGCUCUAUGAUUUCUG